rnacentral:rRNA from 1 species
CCUACGGGAGGCAGCAGUGGGGAAUUUUGCGCAAUGGGCGAAAGCCUGACGCAGCGACGCCGCGUGAGGGAUGAAGGUCUUCGGAUCGUAAACCUCUGUCAGCAGGGAAGAACGGUCACUGUGCUAAUCAGCAGGGAAUUGACGGUACCUGCAAAGGAAGCACCGGCUAACUCCGUGCCAGCAGCCGCGGUAAUACGGAGGGUGCGAGCGUUAAUCGGAAUUACUGGGCGUAAAGCGCUCGUAGGCGGUAUGUCAAGUCAAGGGUGAAAGCCCCGCGCUCAACGUGGGAACUGCCUUUGAAACUGGCAAACUGGAGUGUGUGAGAGGAUAGUGGAAUUCCAGGUGUAGGAGUGAAAUCCGUAGAUAUCUGGAGGAACAUCAGUGGCGAAGGCGACUAUCUGGCACAUAACUGACGCUGAGGAGCGAAAGCGUGGGUAGCAAACAGGAUUAGAUACCCCAGUAGUC